AUUGAACGCUGGCGGCAGGCUUAACACAUGCAAGUCGAGCGGGGUGAUGGUGCUUGCACUAUCACUUAGCGGCGGACGGGUGAGUAAUGCUUAGGAAUCUGCCUAUUAGUGGGGGACAACAUCUCGAAAGGGAUGCUAAUACCGCAUACGUCCUACGGGAGAAAGCAGGGGACCACUUGUUACCUUGCGCUAAUAGAUGAGCCUAAGUCGGAUUAGCUAGUUGGUGGGGUAAAGGCCUACCAAGGCGACGAUCUGUAGCGGGUCUGAGAGGAUGAUCCGCCACACUGGGACUGAGACACGGCCCAGACUCCUACGGGAGGCAGCAGUGGGGAAUAUUGGACAAUGGGGGGAACCCUGAUCCAGCCAUGCCGCGUGUGUGAAGAGGGCCUUAUGGUUGUAAAGCACUUUAAGCGAGGAGGAGGCUCUUUUGGUUAAUACCCAAGAUGAGUGGACGUUACUCGCAGAAUAAGCACCGGCUAACUCUGUGCCAGCAGCCGCCGUAA
rnacentral:rRNA from 1 species